AUAAAAAUCAACAAAGUUCAUGCCAGGUGGAAAAUAACCAAUCAGUACACAGCAUAGGGUAUGUAUAAUCUAAUGAAACAACUACUAGGAUACUAGCCCACAAAUCAUGUGCCUUCCUCAUAGUUUGGAAGGUCAAAGAUUAAAAUCCCAGCAUCUCGUCACCAGUUUAAAAAUCUCAUGUAACAAGGGGCAGCUUUUCUGGGAUUCAUUGUGCACUGUAUGGUGAAAGAUCAAUCCACUGAAUCCACUCCCCAACUUAAAAGCAAAAUGGUAAUUUCCUUUGCACCUAUAUUUCCUUCAAUCAUCUUUGUGAAGUCCAGCUUAUGAUGGUCAAUGGAAUUAUAUGCAGAGUCUUAAUAAGUUAGAUUAUCAGAACUCUAAAUUUGUUAUUUUAUUUCAUUGGAUUUGUGCUUAUUUGACUGGAACUAUUUCCUAAAAAUGGUUCUGUUAUAUUCCCUUUAAAGCAAAAUGAUUCAUAAUUACCAUCAG
rnacentral:misc_RNA from 1 species